CCCUCCCCUAAAUCACUCCAAAAAAAACAAUCCCCAAUUCUACACAAGUGUUUCUACACUAACAAAGCAACAGCUCCUUAACGAAUUCCCAACUUUACACGAGCUCGUCUCUCGAGGUUAAAUGUUAUUACUUGGUAAGAUUCCGGACCUCGCCAAGUGUUUUGAAAACCCGCAACGCUCGCAAAGGUGCAUAGUGAGAAUAAUAAGUGAAGAGACAGACUUGUCCAAAACGCCCACCACGAAGGUGCAUAGUGAGAAGAGUAAGUCAAGAGACAGACUUGUCCAAAAAGAAACGGAAGAGAAAGCUUGGGGAGACGCUCACGAAGGUGCAUAGUGAGAAGAGUAAGUCAAGAGAUAGACUUGUUCAAAAAGAAACAGAAGAGAAUGCUUGGGGUUACACUCACGAAGGUGCAUAGUGAGAAGAGUAAGUCAAGAGACAGACUUGUUCAAAAAGAAACAAAAGAGAAUGCUUGGGGAGAUAGAAGUGUGAGAUAGUUCUCAAGCUAAGAAAGUUGUAAAAGCUAAGAACUAGCAAGUAAUCGUCCAGGAUUCCUCCACCAGGACUUGAAAUCGUCGAGGGAAAAAAAUCGGUUCCGAGGAAUCGUCGAUCCGGACUUGGAAUCGUCGAGAAAAGUUUACCGGGUCCGAGGAAUCGUCGAUCCGGACUUGGAAUCGUCGAGAAAAGUUUACCGGGUCCAAGGAUUUGUCGACCAGGAGUGGAAAUCGUCGAGAAAAAUCUAUCGGGUCCGAGGAAUCGUCGACCAGGACGAGGAAUCGCCGAC
rnacentral:misc_RNA from 1 species